rnacentral:rRNA from 1 species
CGGUAAGAGUUUGUAGUCCUGGCUACAGGAGUGAACGGACUGGCGGACGGUGCGUUAACACGAUGGCAAGUCGAACGGAGCGCGGACACGGACUAUUUCGGUAGGAGCGUGCGGAGGCUUAGUGGCGGACGGGUGAGUAACGCGUGGAUAACCUGCCGCGAUACCGGGGGAUAACAGCUGGAACAGCUGCUAAUACCGCAUAUGCCCGCAGUGCCGCAUGGCACAGCGGGGAAACUCCGGUGGUAUGCGAUGGGUCCGCGUCUGAUUAGGCAGUUGGCGGGGUAACGGCCCACCAAACCGACGAUCAGUAGCCGGCCUGAGAGGGCGGACGGCCACACUGGGACUGAGACACGGCCCAGACUCCUGCGGGAGGCAGCAGUGGGGAAUAUUGCACAAUGGGGGAAACCCUGAUGCAGCGACGCCGCGUGAAGGAAGAAGUAUCUCGGUAUGUAAACUUCUAUCAGCAGGGAAGAAAACAGACGGUACCUGACUAGGAAGCCCCGGCUAACUACGUG